rnacentral:rRNA from 1 species
CACCGACAGAUCAAGUGGUACCCACGAAUAUUGGGCCUUAAGAGUCCGUAGCUGGCCAGUUAAGUUCUCUGUGAAAUAUUCCGGCUUAACCGGAAUGCGUGCAGGGGGUACUGACAGGCUUGGGAGUGGGGGAGGCCGGGAGUACUUGCGGGGUAGGGGUAAAAUCCUGUAAUCCUGCAAGGACUACCAGUGGCGAAGGCGCCCGGCUAAAACACGUCCGACAGUGAGGGACGAAGGCUAGGAGAACGAA